rnacentral:lncRNA from 1 species
UCAUAUGCAUGUGUUACCAUAUUAUCAUCAUUUGUUCACUCAGGAAUCAGGUUCACCCUACUCAAACCUCGAAUCCACCCUACUCGGUUUCGGUACAGGUCAGCAAUCCACCCUACUCGGAUUGCAACUUGCCUCUUUCAUCAACAACAACGACAUGAUGAACACAUGUCACAACACGUAAAUAACACGACAACAUAAUGUUUAAAGUCUUCUCCCGACAAUAAACAAAGCAUGCAUUUACCCAACAAUAAAAG